rnacentral:lncRNA from 10 species
UUCAGAUGCAGGAGCCAUAGUUCAAGGAAGGCUGGCUAAAAACAGCUGAGAAAUUAAACUCCCCUCAUUAAAGACCUGAUGGCUCACAUUAUCCAGGAGUCCUCCACUAGUAAGUCCCAACAGAUGAUUCAGCUGCUCCUUAAUGAACACAAGGCAAAUAAACAAGAAAACUGGCAUAUUAUUCAAAGGAAAAAAGAAUGUAUUUUCUUUCUUUGAACACGAAGCGGGGCUGAAAAAUUCUUUAGCUGGCUAAACUUAAGUCAAGAUUCUGAACCUUCUCCUAGGCCCUUCUGUGAACUUCCUUGUCAAAUUCCAUUUUAGUAGAGAACACUGCCAUGUCCAUUCAGCAAGAACUCUCCAUCCUCAAGAUCUCGUUAUGCUCAAUAUCUAAUCACGUGUGGGUUUUCUUUUUUUUUUUGGUUUUGUUUUGUUUGUUUUGAGACAGAGUCUCACUCUGUUGCCAGGCUAGAGUACAGAGGCACAAUAUUGGCUCACUGCAAUCUCCG